rnacentral:rRNA from 1 species
UACGAAGGGGGGUAGCGUUGUUCGGGAUUACUGGGCGUAAAGCGCGUGUAGGCGGGCCGUUAAGUCGGGGGUGAAAGCCCAGAGCUCAACUCUGGAAUUGCCUUCGAUACUGGCGGCCUGGAGCAUGAUAGAGGCGAGUGGAAUUGCGAGUGUAGAGGUGAAAUUCGUAGAUAUUCGCAGGAACACCAGUGGCGAAGGCGACUCGCUGGAUCAUUGCUGACGCUGAGACGCGAAAGCGUAGGGAGCAAACAGG